UACGGAGGGAGCUAGCGUUGUUCGGAAUUACUGGGCGUAAAGCGUACGUAGGCGGUUACUCAAGUCAGAGGUGAAAGCCCGGGGCUCAACCCCGGAACUGCCUUUGAAACUAGGUAGCUAGAAUCUUGGAGAGGCGAGUGGAAUUCCGAGUGUAGAGGUGAAAUUCGUAGAUAUUCGGAAGAACACCAGUGGCGAAGGCGACGUCCUGGACCGGCAUUGACGCUGAGGCGCGAAAGCCAGGGGAGCAAACGGG
rnacentral:rRNA from 1 species